GAUGAACGCUGGCGGCGUGCCUAAUACAUGCAAGUCGAGCGAACAGACGAGGAGCUUGCUCCUCUGGCGUUAGCGGCGGACGGGUGAGUAACACGUGGAUAACCUACCUAUAAGACUGGGAUAACUUCGGGAAACCGGAGCUAAUACCGGAUAAUAUAUUGAACCGCAUGGUUCAAUAGUGAAAGACGGUUUUGCUGUCACUUAUAGAUGGAUCCGCGCCGCAUUAGCUAGUUGGUAAGGUAACGGCUUACCAAGGCAACGAUGCGUAGCCGACCUGAGAGAGUGAUCGGCCACACUGGAACGGAGACGCGGUCCAGACGCCUACGGGAGGCAGCAGAAGGGAAUCUUCCGCAAUAGGCGAAAGCCUUACGGAGCAACGCCACGUGAGUGAUGAAGGUCUUCGGAUCGUAAUACUCUGUUAUUAGGGAAGAACAAAUGUGUAAGUAACUAUGCACGGCUUGACGGUACCUAGUCAGAAAGCCACGGCUAACUACGUG
rnacentral:rRNA from 1 species